rnacentral:rRNA from 1 species
GUGGGGAAUAUUGUACAAUGGGCGCAAGCCUGAUCCAGCCAUGCCGCGUGUGUGAAGAAGGCCUUUUGGUUGUAAAGCACUUUAAGCGAGGAGGAGGCUACUUGGAUUAAUACUCUAGGAUAGUGGACGUUACUCGCAGAAUAAGCACCGGCUAACUCUGUGCCAGCAGCCGCGGUAAUACAGAGGGUGCGAGCGUUAAUCGGAUUUACUGGGCGUAAAGCGUGCGUAGGCGGCUUCUUAAGUCGGAUGUGAAAUCCCUGAGCUUAACUUAGGAAUUGCAUUCGAUACUGGGAAGCUAGAGUAUGGGAGAGGAUGGUAGAAUUCCAGGUGUAGCGGUGAAAUGCGUAGAGAUCUGGAGGAAUACCGAUGGCGAAGGCAGCCAUCUGGCCUAAUACUGACGCUGAGGUACGAAAGCAUGGGGAGCAAACAGGAUUAGAAACCCCAGUAGUCC